CCCUUAGAUGUCCGGGGCCGCACGCGCGCUACACUGAAGGAAUCAGCGUGGCUUUCUCCCUGACCCGAAAGGGUUGGGAAACCCGUUGAAUCUCCUUCGUGAUAGGGAUUGGGGCUUGAAAUUGUUCCCCAUGAACGAGGAAUACCUUGUAAGCGCGGGUCAUCAUCCCGCGCUGAAUACGUCCCUGCCCUUUGUACACACCGCCUGUCGCUCCUACCGAUUGAGUGGUCCGGUGAGGCUUUGGGAUCUGAGCGGAAAGAGCGUUUCGCUGUUUCUGCUCGGAAAACUCAGUCGAACCUUAUCAUUUAGAGGAAGGAGAAGUCGUAACA
rnacentral:rRNA from 1 species